GAUGCUGGGUCCCAGACAGACUGCGGGCAGCAGUGGAGCCAGUCAGAAGGGGUGCAGUGUCAGGGAAGGCUCCCCAAAGGAGGUCGCACACUGCCAGCCUCAAGGGGAGGAUGGGGCAGCAGGAGCACUGGCUCCAAACUUCAUUUAUUGAGCACUGAGCAUGACUCUGAGAGGUUGGGGACCGUGGACGCUGAGAGGUGCGGGGCAGCGAACACUUCCUGCAGGAAGCCUGUCCUGAUGCCCUCUCCUAUCUGGGCUGGAGGUCCCUCGGGUGCUCCCACUACUCUGCCACAUCACAGCUGAGCAUGGUCUGCUCCGUGCAAGUGCUCCAGCCGACGCAGCCUGAGGGUCCCCAGAAUCCCAACCAAUGCCCUACCUGGGUGUCAUCUCACUUGGCUUUCUUCGCUUGGAGGAGCAGCUGGUCAUCUCUGUGCCUGAUUCCACAGCUGUUAAGCUGAAGAGCUGGUUGUACCUUUCCAAGAUCCAUCUCUGUCUAAUUGACCAAUGAGCUUAAAGAAGACAUGUCCAAAAGCCUCCAAAGAGAUACAGAUUAAAACAACAAUGAAAUAAAAAGUGGUAAUAAUCAGUGUUGGCAUGCACAA